AAUAAAGAAAGAAGAACUGGAAGAAAAAAGGUAGAAGAGUUAGGAUGUUGGAGAUUUAAAGGAGAUGAGCUAAGAAAAGUGUGAAGACUGCUUAUUUAGCAAGUGCCUACCCAGAUGCAUCUGCCAGCGAAAGCUAGUGCUGUCUGCAACUAUAUGGUGGUGCAGAUUAGCUUUCUAUAACAAAAGAAGUUUACAAGAUGACUUACAAGCUUCAGCUAAAGCUCAAAGAAGUGGUAUUACUGCUUCUUAGUGCCCUUGACUUUUCCUGUCCUUGUGGUAGCUAUAUAUUUCCAUUGGCUCAACAUGAAAUUGUUCAAGCACGCAUGACUUUAAGAAAGUACAUAGCAGCUGAGGCCUUAGCAAUUUGAAGGUCAUAGAUCUGCAAGUUCUACAACCUUCCCUAGUGUCUUUACCCUUGUAGCAUUUAACCCAUUAUUUUUGCCAAACACAUGCAUGACUACUGUCACAUAACCUUAGUUGCUUGCACUGUUAUGUUCAAGGUGAAAUUCCCACAAUUGGGGGAUUUUGUCAUUGCAAGAAGGGUUGGAGGAUAUGAAAAGGUAUUAUGGUAGUAAGAUUUCUAAGUUCAGAGUUUUGCAUGUGCACUUACAGUCAUAUACAUCUCAACAUUGUGAUUCAGAGAAGUGUUAAUCAUUUUCUUUUUAUCAAGUUUAGACAUUCACUUGCUGCUCCUAUGCUGGAAAUCUUUUAUCACAAUGGCCUAUGUGUGUUGGUCUACAGGUGAUUCUACUAUUCCAGAGAUUUGGCCAAUUCUCUGUCUUUGGAGUAUGUCAGAAUAUGCCCAAUUAUGUGGUUGAUCUAUUGGCUUGUUGAGCAGAAAAUUGAGUAGUGCAAGGGGCUAGUUGCUUGGAGAGCUAAUAUGUCCUUUUGUUUGAUGUUGAGCUUCUAGUUAAAGAGGAAAGCUGAGCAUUUGAAGGCUAGAAGAUUUUGGAAAAGAUCAAAAUGGGAUGCCCUUCUGUUUAAUACGUCUGAUUUUUCUUUUUUUCUUUUAAGGGGUUCCUUUGUAUAGUUCCCUUGUCUUUAGAUGGACCCAUACAAAGGUACCCCUUAAAAUAAAAAAAUAAAAACCAGACAUAUUAAACAGAAGGGCAUCCCAUUUUGAACUUUUCCAAAGACUUCUAGCCUUCAAAUGCUCAGCUUUCCUCUUUAACUAGAAGCUCCACAUUGAACAAAAGUACAUAUUAGCUCUCCAAGCAACUAGCCCCUUGCAACUCAAUUUUUUGCUCAAUAAGUCAUCAAAUCAACCACAUAACUGGGCAUAUUUUGACAUACUCCAAAGAGAGAGAAUUGGCCAAAUCUCUAGAAUAGUAGAAUCACCUGUAGACCAACACACAUAGGCCAUUGUGAUAAAAGAUUUCCAGGGUAGGAGCAACAAGUGAAUGUCUGAACUUGAUAAAAAGAAAAUGAUUAACACUUCUUUGAACCACACUGUUGGGAUGUAUAAGACUGUAAGUGCGCAAAACUCUGACCUUAGAAAACUUUUCAUAUCCUCCAACCCUUCUUGCAAUGACAAAAUCCCCUAGUUGUGGGAAUUUCACCCUGAACAUAACAGUGCAAGCAACUAAGGUAAUGUGACAGUAGUAAUACAUGUGUUUGGCAAAAAUAAUGGGUUAAAUGCUAAAAGGGUAAAGAUACCAGGGAAGGUUGUAGAAUUUGUAGGUCUCCAUGACCUUCAAAUUGCCAAGGCCUCAGCUACUAUGUACUUUGUAAAGGCAAUGAAUGGACAAACAUUAUCUCAGCAUUAGAAUUAAGGCCUUUGGGAAAUGAUAUUUACGUGACUCAAUCUGGAUCAUUGGCACUCUUGGCCCGAUGGGAUACUGGUGCAACAACCAAUCAAACAAUCAGGUACAAAGACGAUGUUUAUGACCGCAUCUGGUGACCAAUUUCCUACUAUCAAUGGACAGAAUUAAAUACCAACCUUGACAUCAAACAAUUCAAUGACUGCCAAAUGCCAUCUUCAGUUAUGACCACUGCUGCAACACCAAUAAUUGCUAACUCUUCCUUGGACAUCUCUGUUACGGCUGACAAUGAUACCACCCAGUGUUAUUUUUACAUGCACUUUGCUGAGGUUGAAAAGCUCCAAGCCAAUCAGUCCAGAGUAAUUAACAUCUCUCUAAAUGGGAAUCAACAGUAUGGACCUUUUUCUCCUGAAUAUCUGUCCACAACCACUAUUUACAGCAAAUUUCUCAACUGGAGACCAACAUAUUUCAAUCUAUAAAACUGAAAGUUCUACUCUUCCACCAAUCCUCAAUGCCUUUGAGGUUUACAAGGUAAUAGAACUCCGACAGUCUGAAACAGGCCAAGAAUAAGGUAUGUUCUUUCUGACGCAUAGUUUUUAGUGUCAGUGUUGUCCAAAUUAUGUUAUGCAAGAUUUUGAUUAUACUACCUUAUACUUCUUAUAUGCACGUGAAACUAGUGACCGCCAUCUUGGACAUCAAGUCAUUGUAUGCUAUAACAAAAAAUUGGCAAGGAGAUCCAUGUGCCCCUAAGGAAUACUUGUGGGAAGGUCUAAACUGUAGCUAUAAUGAUUCUAAUACCCCUAGAAUCAUCUCAUUGUAAGAAUUUUCUUCUCAUAAUUUUGUUGUGUUCUAAUUUAAACCAUACUAUCGUGUAUUAAAUAAUUAAACAUGCAAUCAGGAACCUAUCCUCAAGUGGAUUGACUGGAGAGAUAGUGCCUUACAUAUCAAAUCUCACUAUGAUAAAAAUUUUGUGAAUAUAUAUCUCAAUCUCUUGUAAAUGAUCCACAUGAUGGGGAGACUCAAAAUCUGACCACAAUUUUUAUUUAUUUCUUUCUUUUUAUCACAAUUGAUGAUAUUGUAAAUGAAUUCUCUUUUCAGAGACCUAUCAAACAAUAACUUAACUGGACCAAUUCCAGAUUUUUUGUCUCAAUUGCCAUUCUUAACAGUCUUAAAUUUAGAAAGAAACAACCUCACAGGUUCAGUUUCUGUUGAACUCAUCCAAUGAUCAAACAAUGGUUCACUAUUAUUAAGGUAUGCAUUUUGUAGGAAAAAAAUCAUGAAUUCCCUAGUAUAAUUAUCUCUUUUUCUUCUUCUUAUUUUUUUCACACAAUAAUUUUUUUUUUUAAUAUCAUCACAGGAGGUAAAUCAUUAGAAGCGAUUAAGAUCCUCUAGAGUUCUUAGGAUAACUCUACCAUUGAAUUUUGAAGAUCCUAUCCAUUCAUUCUUAGGGUAAAUCAUUAUAAGUGAUUAGAUUUUAUCAUGUCAUCAAUAUUUAAAAAAAUGUUGACCUUCAUCAUUGUGGUAUUCAUUUAAAUUAUUGAUGAUGCAACACAAUUCAAUCUACUUAUUCCAAAAUGAAUGGGUAAGAUUUUUUGAACUCUUUGGUGGAGCUACCCUAUGAACUCUACAGGAUCAUAAUCCCAUUAAAAGUUACAAUGCAACUUUUGUGCAAUAGAUUAUAUUGUUGUACUUAAUAAGUUGUAGUCUUAUUUUUUUUGCCAUGAACUCUUAUUGAUGCAAUGGUGCUAGUGUUGGUGAAAAUCCAAAUUUAUGUACAUCACUUUCAUGUGAAAAGAAGAACAAUAUUAUUAUUCCGGUGGUGGCAUCUGCAGUUGGUGGGUUGUUCAUCCUCUUAUUAAUUGCAGCAGCUAUCAUUUUGAUCAUCAAAAGGAGAAAACAACAAGGUGAGAGUACAACCAUAAUACUUUUGAUUAAAAUGGUAUAAGUUGAUUAUACAACACCCAAAUUGAUAAAAACAAAGAAACUAUUCCCCAAAGAUUACGUGCUUAUUAAAACCAGGAUUAUCUUAGGGCUUGUGACAAAUAGUUUUGAAGUUAACAAUAGAAGUGAACAAUUGGAGUAAAAAAAACACUAGUUUACAUAUGCUGAUAUCCUGAGGAUUACCAACAACUUUGAGAGGGUACUUGGUAAAGGUGGAUUUGGAAUAGUUUAUCAUGGCUACCUUGAUGGCACCCAAGUCCCUGUUAAGAUGCUCUCUCCAUCAUCAGUUCAAGGAUAUAAAGAAUUUCAUACAGAGGUAUGUGGUCGCAACACAUACAAAACUUUUAAACUAUUCAUAUGUAUUUAGCUAACAUGCGACUUCAAAUUACAGGCUAAUCUUCUUAUGACCUCAUCCUCCACAUAGCACUUGUAGGGGGGAAGUGCCAGAUGAGCUAAAGCUUGUUGGCUUUUGCGUUUGUUUUCUCUUGGCCAAUUAUGAACUUCAAUAACUCACGUAAGGCCCAUGACUUGAGGGUGUGUUUGAUAUCUAAGCUCUGAUGGCUGAUGCCUAAUUGUCUUAUUGCACAAUAUGUUGUCACUAUGAUCUAUUUGACAUGACCAUUAGGUAAAUCUUUUUCAAAAGAUGAAUAAUGCAUAUAGUUCCAAAGAAAGGAGGGUGGAAGCAUAUUAUGACAUGGAAAACAGAAGCAUGAAAAGAAAACAUCAACAUGAAUAAAGAGAAUGGGUGUAGAACCGAAAAUGGGGUAAGAAUACCUCAAAAGCUUUUCCAAGAGGCCGCUUAGAGUUGUGUAGAGCAGAAACCAAAUAGGCAGUAGUUCGUGUAAAAUUCUUGACAAAAAUUAUUACACAGAUUCUAUAAACACAUUCUGGCAGAGAUUUAAGUGUUUCUGUACCACUCUUUAAAAAAAAAAGCAUUUCUGCACAAAUCGCUGCAAUUACAAACUAAACUGAAGUCAAACUGCUUCCUUCAAAAUGCUAGCAAUAAUUAUGCCUGUGAAUUGGUAAAUCCAGUGUGUCAAAAGCAGUCAAAUUUGAUGGUGAGUUUCCUAUACCAAGUGCAUUUGGUUUAAUUGAGGGGUUUUUUUUUUUUUUUUU